rnacentral:rRNA from 1 species
UACGGAGGGUGCAAGCGUUACUCGGAAUCACUGGGCGUAAAGAGCGCGUAGGCGGGAUAGCAAGUCAGAUGUGAAAUCCUAUGGCUUAACCAUAGAACUGCAUUUGAAACUGCUUCCCUUGAGUAUCGGAGAGGUAACCGGAAUUCCUAGUGUAGCGGUGAAAUGCGUAGAUAUUAGGAAGAACACCAGUGGCGAAGGCGGGUUACUGGACGACAACUGACGGUGAGGCGCGAAAGCGUGGGGAGCAAACAGG